UACGUAGGUCCCGAGCGUUGUCCGGAUUUAUUGGGCGUAAAGCGAGCGCAGGUGGUUUAUUAAGUCUGGUGUAAAAGGCAGUGGCUCAACCAUUGUAUGCAUUGGAAGCUGGUAGACUUGAGUGCAGGAGAGGAGAGUGGAAUUCCAUGUGUAGCGGUGAAAUGCGUAGAUAUAUGGAGGAACACCGGUGGCGAAAGCGGCUCUCUGGCCUGUAACUGACACUGAGGCUCGAAUGCGUGGGGAGCAAACAGG
rnacentral:rRNA from 1 species